UCAAAAAGGGCUUGUAACCUUUGACUCGGUGUAAGAAUCUCUAGAGGAUCCCCGGGUACC
rnacentral:tRNA from 1 species